AUGCUCUGGUUUCUUUUGAAAUUGUACAAAUCUUUUGCCUUUUACUAAUGAUUUCUGUGGAGAGGAAUAUUCUACAAAUGUUUUCUGCUAAUUUUUUGAUGCCCUGUUUUUGCAUGGUA